GACGAACCGUGCGAACGUUAUUCGGAAUCACUGGGCUUAAAGCGCGUGUAGGCGGAUGGGAACGUCGGUAGUUGAAAGCCCCCGGCUCAACCGGGGAAGUGGUGCCGAAACGACCCGUCUGGAGGGACGUAGGGGGACCUGGAACUUCCGGUGGAGCGGUGAAAUGCGUUGAGAUCGGAAGGAACGCCCGUGGCGAAAGCGAGGUCCUGGACGUCUGCUGACGCUGAGACGCGAAAGCCAGGGGAGCGAACGGG
rnacentral:rRNA from 1 species